ACGAACGCUGGCGGCGUGCCUAACACAUGCAAGUCGAGCGGAGACAGUGAGUAGCUUGCUAUGAACUGUUUUAGCGGCGGACGGGUGAGUAACGCGUGAGCAACCUUUCCCAGACAGGGGAAUAACACACCGAAAGGUGUACUAAUACCGCAUAAGACCACGGGAUCACAUGGUUCUGGGGUAAAAGAUUUAUCGGUUUGGGGUGGGCUCGCGUCCGAUUAGGUAGUUGGUGAGGUAACGGCCCACCAAGCCGACGAUCGGUAGCCGACCUGAGAGGGUGAUCGGCCACAUUGGGACUGAGACACGGCCCAAACUCCUACGGGAGGCAGCAGUGGGGAAUAUUGGGCAAUGGGGGGAACCCUGACCCAGCAACGCCGCGUGGAGGAAGAAGGUUUUCGGAUCGUAAACUCCUGUCCUUGGAGACGAGUAGAAGACGGUAUCCAAGGAGGAAGCCCCGGCUAACUACGUGCCAGCAGCCGCGGUAAUACGUAGGGGGCAAGCGUUGUCCGGAAUAAUUGGGCGUAAAGGGCGCGUAGGCGGCUCGGUAAGUCUGGAGUGAAAGUCCUGCUUUUAAGGUGGGAAUUGCUUUGGAUACUGUCGGGCUUGAGUGCAGGAGAGGUUAGUGGAAUUCCCAGUGUAGCGGUGAAAUGCGUAGAGAUUGGGAGGAACACCAGUGGCGAAGGCGACUAACUGGACUGUAAUUGACGCUGAGGCGCGAAAGUGUGGGGAGCAAACAGGAUUAGAUACCCUGGUAGUCCACACUGUAAACGAUGAAUGCUAGGUGUAGGGGGUAUCGACCCCUUCUGUGCCGCAGUCAACACAAUAAGCAUUCCGCCUGGGGAGUACGGCCGCAAGGUUGAAACUCAAAGGAAUUGACGGGGGCCCGCACAAGCAGCGGAGCAUGUGGUUUAAUUCGACGCAACGCGAAGAACCUUACCAGGUCUUGACAUCCACUUAAACUUACAGAGAUGUAAGGUGUGCUUGCACAAAGUGAGACAGGUGGUGCAUGGUUGUCGUCAGCUCGUGUCGUGAGAUGUUGGGUUAAGUCCCGCAACGAGCGCAACCCUUAUGGUCAGUUACUACGCAAGAGGACUCUGGCCAGACUGCCGUUGACAAAACGGAGGAAGGUGGGGAUGACGUCAAAUCAUCAUGCCCCUUAUGACCUGGGCUACACACGUGCUACAAUGGCCACGACAGAGAGAAGCGAAAUCGCAAGGUAGAGCGGAACUCAAAAAAGUGGUCCCAGUUCGGAUUGUGGGCUGCAACCCGCCCACAUGAAGUCGGAGUUGCUAGUAAUCGCGGAUCAGCAUGCCGCGGUGAAUACGUUCCCGGGCCUUGUACACACCGCCCGUCACACCAUGAGAGCCGGGGGGACCCGAAGUCGGUAGUCUAACCGCAAGGAGGACGCCGCCGAAGGUAAAACUGGUGAUUGGGGUG
rnacentral:rRNA from 1 species